CAGUCGCCGCGGGAAUACGUAGGUGGCAAGCGUUGUCCGGAAUUAUUGGGCGUAGAGCGCGCGCAGGCGGAUAGGUCAGUCUGUCUUAAAAGUUCGGGGCUUAACCCCGUGAUGGGAUGGAAACUGCCAAUCUAGAGUACAGGAGAGGAAAGCGGAAUUCCCAGUGUAGCGGUGAAAUGCGUAGAUAUUGGGAGGAACACCAGUGGCGAAGGCGGCUUUCUGGACUGCAACUGACGCUGAGGCUCGAAAGCCAGGGGAGCGAACGGGAUUAGAUACCCGCGUAGUCCCUGUCUCUUAUACA
rnacentral:rRNA from 1 species